rnacentral:rRNA from 1 species
UACGGGGGGUGCGAACGUUAAUCGGAAUCACUGGGCGUAAAGCGCGCGUAGGCGGUUCGUUAAGUGGGAUGUGAAAUCCCCGGGCUUAACCUGGGAAUUGCAUUUCAAACUGGCGAACUAGAGUGCGGUAGAGGGAGGUAGAAUUUCCUGUGUAGCGGUGAAAUGCGUAGAUAUAGGAAGGAAUACCAGUGGCGAAGGCGGCCUCCUGGAUCGACACUGACGCUGAGGCGCGAAAAGCGUGGGGGAGCAAACAGG